ACCAGGCUGGAGUGCAGUGGCGUGAUCUCGGCUCACUGUAACCUCUGCCUCCCGGGUUCAAGCGAUUCUUCUGCCUCAGCCUCCUGAGUAGCUGGGACUACAGGCGUGUGCCACCAUGCCCAGCUAAUUUUUGUAUUUUUAGUAGAGACAGAGUUUCACCGUAUUGGCCAGGCUGGUCUUGAACUCCUGACCUUGUGAUCCACCCGCCUCGGCCUCCCAAAGUGCUGGGAUUACAGGCAUGAGCCACCACACCCAGCCUAUUUUAUUUUUUGAGACAGUGUCUCGCUCUGUCAUCCAGGCUGGAAUGCAAUGGUGUGAUCUCAGCUCACUGCGACAUCGACAUCCUCCUCCGGGGUUCAAGGGAUUCUCGUGCCUCAGCCUCCGGAGUAGCUGGGAUUUCAGGCAUGUGCCAACACAUCCAGGUUAUCAGUUUAAAUGCUGUCUUCUCAAAGAGGCCUCUCUUGAUCACCCAGUCUAAAAUAGCACCCCCACAAAGACCAGCUACCUGAUUUGCACAACCCGGUACAAAAUGAAGAUGUGAGGGAUCUUGUAAGAAAAGGAAGAUAAAAAUGAUAUGAAAGAUUAAUAAGGAAGAACUGAAAAGAAAGGAAACUACUCUGUCCCGUCUUUACCUUUCCUUUUACUGACAUGGUUUGGCUCUGUGUGCCCACCCAAAUCUCACCUUGUUUGUGAUAAUCCCCAUGCAUCAAAGGACAGGACCAGGUGGAGAUAGUUGAAUUGCAGGGGCAGUUUCCACCAUGCUGUUCUGAUAGUGAGUGAGUUCUCAUGAGAUCUGAUGGUUCUGUAAGGGGCUUAUCCCUUCACUUGGCACUCAUUCUCUCUCUUGCUACCCUGUGAUGAGGUGCCUUCCACCAUGAUUUUAAGUUUCCUGAGGCCUCACCAACCAUGCAAACCUGUGAGUCAAACCUCUUUCCUUUGUAAACUACCCAGUCUUUGGUAUUUCUUGAUAGCAGCAUAAUAAGGGACUAAUACAUUACAUCAUCACUUUUGGAGUUAAUGGCUGGCUGCUACAAGAAUUAAUGAAAGAAGAAAAGAAUAAGACUGGGUUCUUUGGUCAUCUUUCAGAAUGUCAUUGCCUUCUUUUUGCAUUGGAAGUGUUAAAGUAAACUAUGGCCUGAGAAGGACUCUGUACUUCUAUAUUUGAGUCCUUGUGGAUGAACUGUAACCUAGCUUAAUAGACAAAAUUGAAAACCUAACUUGGUAGCAUGUACCUGUAAUAAUAGCUGAGUGUUGGCCAAUCCCAGCAGCCAUACUUCAACCACUCAUAGACUGCAGAAUGUGCAAACUGCAUUCAAAUAAGGCAAACACCGAGUAGUAACCCAUUUCACUGUUUCUGUACCUCACUUCCGAUCCCUGUACAUCACUUUACCUUUUUUGUCUAUAAAUUUGUUCUGAACACGAGGCACCCCUGGAGUCUCUAUUAAUCUGCUGUGAUUCUGGGGGCUGCUCGAUUCGCAAAUUGUUCAAUGCCCAAUUAAACUCCUUUAAAUUUAAUUCGGCUGAAGUUUUUCUUUCAUCAGAAGCAAGUUCUGGUUUGAGAGAAGCAUGGCUUCUAAACAUAUCAGCAUUCCUGCUUCCUCCGUGGAAGACAUAGAACAUUUAUCUCACACUGGCUUUGAAUCUCACUGAAUUCUCCAGGGUGGUG
rnacentral:lncRNA from 1 species